rnacentral:misc_RNA from 1 species
AGAAGCAGGAUAUCGUGUAGAAUC